GAGAGAGGCAAGCACCGCAACGACGUUUGCUAAACCCCGUCUCUUUGGUUAAACUCCAAAGCUCCCUCG
ensembl:Mt_tRNA